rnacentral:rRNA from 1 species
GAUGAACGCUGGCGGCGUGCUUAACACAUGCAAGUCGAACGAUGAAGCCCAGCUUGCUGGGUGGAUUAGUGGCGAACGGGUGAGUAACACGUGAGUAACCUGCCCUUAACUCUGGGAUAAGCCUGGGAAACUGGGUCUAAUACCGGAUAGGAGCGUCCACCGCAUGGUGGGUGUUGGAAAGAUUUAUCGGUUUUGGAUGGACUCGCGGCCUAUCAGCUUGUUGGUGAGGUAAUGGCUCACCAAGGCGACGACGGGUAGCCGGCCUGAGAGGGUGACCGGCCACACUGGGACUGAGACACGGCCCAGACUCCUACGGGAGGCAGCAGUGGGGAAUAUUGCACAAUGGGCGCAAGCCUGAUGCAGCGACGCCGCGUGAGGGAUGACGGCCUUCGGGUUGUAAACCUCUUUCAGUAGGGAAGAAGCGAAAGUGACGGUACCUGCAGAAGAAGCACCGGCUAGCUACGUG